rnacentral:rRNA from 1 species
CGGAUUGCAGGCUGCAACUCGCCUGCAUGAAGCUGGAAUUGCUAGUAAUCGCGGAUCAGCAAGCCGCGGUGAAUGCGUUCCCGGGCCUUGUACACACCGCCCGUCACACCAUGAGAGUCGGGAGCACCCGAAGUCCGUAGUCUAACCGCAAGGGGGGCGCGGCCGAAGGUGGGUCCGGUAAUUGGGGUGAAGUCGUAACAAGGUACC